UGAGGAGUGGGUCCAUGAGAGGACGGGGCUGUGAGGGCACAGGGCCCAUGAGGGGAUGGGGUCCAUGAGGGGAUGGGGCUGUGAGUGCCGUGGAGCCCCAGGACGGUGGGGAUGGUGGCUCCCCAGGAGCAUCCUGCUGGGGACGAGGCUGAGGGGAAAGGCGCAGCAGGAGGAAGGAGCAGAGCACGCUAGCAGGGGAACGGGGUCACUCCUCACACGGUUCCUUAUGGCAGCUGCUCCCAGCGGCCAGGGCCACCACGCUGGAUGCCCUGCAUGGAAUAGGGCUCCCCCAAUCAUACACAGUGCUGAGGGAACCCCGGCCUGGCCUGCUGCCUCACAGAGCCUGGAGGGAUGGGAUGGCCUUGGAGUCAGACAGAAGGCUUGGCAGAAGUCAUCCAGGCAGCUGAUACUCCAGGUCAGCACUGAAACUGCAGAAGAAAAGAGCAAAACUGCCACUUCUCACAAUAAGACUUGUCUGUUUGUUCUGACAAUGGCCUCACCUCAGUGAUACUUGCGCCAGCUCAGCCUCCACAGCAUUCAGAGAGUACAAAGAGCUUUUAUUGCCGUAUUUGGUGCUCACUCACAAGAGUUCCUUCUGGCACACAAAGUGCUGCUGCUCUGCUGUUGCCAGGAGAAGAGCCCCGGGAGCUGCUCUGUAAAUCCAGCUCGGAGCUGCUGUUCCUCCCGACUGGGCUGUGGAGCCUCCACUCGCCCACCGCAGGUGAGGAUUCACCCAGAAAUGUUUCAUGCAGCAGGUGACAAUUUCCUGGUCACUCCGCAUUUCCCAUGCGCACAGGCCAUCGUGUUCCACCGGGGUUCCUUCCCACAGGGAGCCAGGGUUGGCACUAAAUUAAAACUGCAUCUCCCAAAAAUCAGCACCGCUUGAAGGGAGUUCUCUUAAAUCACACCACGGUGCUUUCUUAAGUCACUUCCACCACUCUAAAACUGUGUUUUAUUUCUCUUUAGAAUUUUCCUAGACUUCUGGUCAUCUUCUGCUAGUUUUUUGUUUCUUUGCUGAGGAGAACUUCAUUUUUUUCUCCAUUUCUCUCAUGAUAAACCAUAGUUGCUGUAACCACUUAAUGCCUGACAAAGAACACAGAAAGCUUUUGUUCCCCAUCCUUGGGAUAGUUUUGACUCCCCUUUCUGUAACAUUUCCAACUUUUCAAAUAUCUUAUUUAAAGUAGCAUCACCACCACUGGAUGCUGUGUUCUUGCUUUUUCUAUCACCCAUCCUUAAUGCAAAUAAAUAAACUAGAAUAAUCUCUAUUCUA